GAUGAAGAACGUAGCGAAAUGCGAUAAGUAAUGUGAAUUGCAGAAUUCAGUGAAUCAUCGAAUCUUUGAACGCACAUUGCGCCCGCCAGUAUUCUGGCGGGCAUGCCUGUUCGAGCGUCAUUUCAACCAUCAAGCCCCCGGCUUGCGUUGGGGACCUGCGGCUGCCGCAGGCCCUGAGAAGCAGUGGCGGGCUCGCUGUCACACCGAGCGUAGUAGCAUACAUCUCGCUCUGGGCGUGCUGCGGGUUCCGGCCGUUAAACCACCUUCAUAACCCAAGGUUGACCUCGGAUCAGGUAGGAAGACCCGCUGAACUUAAGCAUAUCAAUAAGCGGAGGA
rnacentral:misc_RNA from 1 species